UUAUAAAAAGAUAACCUAAAUAUUACUCUUCAUGGGGUAUGGAUGAGGAACGUGAGGACACUAUUGGGAUGUCCCGGUCUGCCUCACUCUGCUCGUGUCAUUUUGGGAGAUGAUAAGAUGUUCACGGACCUCUGUUACAAAAUCCAUGGGAACAACUUUCCAAAAAAGUUGGACUUCUUCUAGUUACAAUUGGAAGCGGGAACUGCAAGUACGAAAAUUGGUGUCCAGUUGCAUUUCUCAUGUGGCAGAAAUGCUGGGAACACAAUUCUUUGGUGUUUGACUUGUUUGACAUCAAGCGUAAAUUUGGAGAGUUUGUUCGGUCAUUAAGUAUUUUUCAUCCAAAUGCUCCCAAAGCAGAAAAAAAUAUCAUGUAUUAUUUCAUGAAUGAAGAUCAUGAUUUCCUUCUCUUUGUGCUA